GCGGGUGUAGUUCAAUGGUAGAACUUCAGCUUCCCAAGCUGAGAGCGCGGGUUCGAUUCCCGUCACCCGCU
rfam:Cellulomonas sp. 73-92 SCNpilot_cont_500_bf_scaffold_245, whole genome shotgun sequence.